GGCUCCAUAGUCUAGUGGUUACGACAUUGGACUCUGAAUAUAAGAGCCCGAGUUCGAAUCUCGGUCCU